GAGGUCUUAGCUUAAUGAAAGUACCUGGUUUGCAUCCAGGGGAUACAGGUUAACGUCCUGUCGGCCUUA
rnacentral:tRNA from 1 species